GAACAGACGAGGAGCUUGCUCCUCUGACGUUAGCGGCGGACGGGUGAGUAACACGUGGAUAACCUACCUAUAAGACUGGGAUAACUUCGGGAAACCGGAGCUAAUACCGGAUAAUAUAUUGAACCGCAUGGUUCAAUAGUGAAAGACGGUUUUGCUGUCACUUAUAGAUGGAUCCGCGCCGCAUUAGCUAGUUGGUAAGGUAACGGCUUACCAAGGCAACGAUGCGUAGCCGACCUGAGAGGGUGAUCGGCCACACUGGAACUGAGACACGGUCCAGACUCCUACGGGAGGCAGCAGUAGGGAAUCUUCCGCAAUGGGCGAAAGCCUGACGGAGCAACGCCGCGUGAGUGAUGAAGGUCUUCGGAUCGUAAAACUCUGUUAUUAGGGAAGAACAAAUGUGUAAGUAACUAUGCACGUCUUGACGGUACCUAAUCAGAAAGCCACGGCUAACUACGUGCCAGCAGCCGCGGUAAUACGUAGGUGGCAAGCGUUAUCCGGAAUUAUUGGGCGUAAAGCGCGCGUAGGCGGUUUUUUAAGUCUGAUGUGAAAGCCCACGGCUCAACCGUGGAGGGUCAUUGGAAACUGGAAAACUUGAGUGCAGAAGAGGAAAGUGGAAUUCC
rnacentral:rRNA from 1 species